UAGGGAAUCUUCCACAAUGGACGAAAGUCUNAUGGAGCAACGCCGCGUGAGUGAAGAAGGGUUUCGGCUCGUAAAACUCUGUUGUUAAAGAAGAACAUAUCUGAGAGUAACUGUUCAGGUAUUGACGGUAUUUAACCAGAAAGCCACGGCUAACUACGUGCCAA
rnacentral:rRNA from 1 species